CGCCCUCAUUGAAAUCGAAAGUGGAAUUUGUUGUUCAAAUUUAUAAACAAGUUCUUAUAACUUUUUUUGUGUAGUUAUUGCCUUUUUUGGUUAAUUUUCUAAAUAAAAGGAAACUGUUCAAUUAUUACACUUCACAGAGAAACCGAAACCAACAACAAAGUCAUGGACGACGACAUCGACGAUGACGAUGACGAUGAUGAUGA
rnacentral:lncRNA from 1 species